UUUUUUUAACCAAAAAACAAAAGUCCUACUUUACCUUUUUCAUGAAUAGCCGCCAUAAAUUUCUAGGGUUCAUUGUUAACUGCAAACUCUGAAUGUCAACCAACAAUAGAGGUUCUGAAAGGUUGUAUGAGGUCAGGAAGAAUCUAUGCAUUCAUCUCAGUUCGUCACGUUUCGUUUGUGAUUCUUCUCCUCUGACCCGUUACGAGUUGCAUUGAUUCAGUGUCAUUAAUGACUUCUUAACUCUUUCGACCCACUACAAUCACGAUCACUCAUGCAAUUUUUCUUAUUUUCCUUCCAGGAGGUUGAUCUCCACCUAUAAAAAGGUCAGGCUUCAUCCUUUGAACAUCAUCUUUUGUUAUCUGAUAAUUUUGGUUAGUUAGUGGGUUCAGAUGGCUGGUGCGUUCAGCUGUCGAUCUCCUUGCAAAAAGGCCUUGAAAGACAGCCAAGAAGAAUUCAAGAGAAUCAUCAGAGCGAUCAGUGUUUGAAACAAAAUUUACACAAACAGAUAAGCAAUCUAUUUACUCAGAGAUAGUGUUCUCUAUCCCACGAUGAAUAGUGUAAAAAUAGUUGCAGUUGUAA